UGCAAGUCGAACGAUGAAGCCCUUCGGGGUGGAUUAGUGGCGAACGGGUGAGCUAACACGUGGGCAAUCUGCCCUUCACUCUGGGACAAGCCCUGGAAACGGGGUCUAAUACCGGAUAACACUCUGUCCCGCAUGGGACGGGGUUGAAAGCUCCGGCGGUGAAGGAUGAGCCCGCGGCCUAUCAGCUUGUUGGUGGGGUGAUGGCCUACCAAGGCGACGACGGGUAGCCGGCCUGAGAGGGCGACCGGCCACACUGGGACUGAGACACGGCCCAGACUCCUACGGGAGGCAGCAGUGGGGAAUAUUGCACAAUGGGCGAAAGCCUGAUGCAGCGACGCCGCGUGAGGGAUGACGGCCUUCGGGUUGUAAACCUCUUUCAGCAGGGAAGAAGCGAGAGUGACGGUACCUGCAGAAGAAGCGCCGGCUAACUACGUGCCAGCAGCCGCGGUAAUACGUAGGGCGCAAGCGUUGUCCGGAAUUAUUGGGCGUAAAGAGCUCGUAGGCGGCUUGUUGCGUCGGUUGUGAAAGCCCGGGGCUUAACCCCGGGUCUGCAGUCGAUACGGGCAGGCUAGAGUGUGGUAGGGGAGAUCGGAAUUCCUGGUGUAGCGGUGAAAUGCGCAGAUAUCAGGAGGAACACCGGUGGCGAAGGCGGAUCUCUGGGCCAUUACUGACGCUGAGGAGCGAAAGCGUGGGGAGCGAACAGGAUUAGAUACCCUGGUAGUCCACGCCGUAAACGUUGGGAACUAGUGUUGGCGACAUUCCACGUCGUCGGUGCCGCAGCUAACGCAUUAAGUUCCCCGCCUGGGGAGUACGGCCGCAAGGCUAAAACUCAAAGGAAUUGACGGGGGCCGCACAAGCAGCGGGAGCAUGU
rnacentral:rRNA from 1 species